GGCCCAUGCUUUGGAUGUUGCUUUCUUUGUGAGGUAAGAAACUGAAAGGCUUAAUAACGCCUUCUUCUGCUUGUUGAUCGAUAAAAAGUUAAUUGUGCAAAUUGUGUGCCACUGGGUAUAGUUAAGCAGCACAUAUAUUCAUGUAAACCUUUUACACUCAUCAUACUACACAUGCAUAUAUAGUUCAGGCAUUGCAUUCAUCAUAACCGUUCCUUAAAGAGAGGAGUCUCCCUUUUAUUCAUUUUAUUCCCUCUGUUCUAAAAUAUUAGUCGUUGUAGCUUUUGUUUUUUAUGUAUAUAUUCAAAUGGAUGAUGAUGAAUCUAGACAAAUAUAUGAAACACAUACAUAUAUGGAACACAUACAUUAAUUGUUGUAUGAAUCCAUUAAAAAGGUAAAACGAAUUUUAAUUUGGGGGCGGAGGGAGUAUUUGUUUUAUCUUUUCACACAUAAGGUCUGUUUAUCUAUUGGUUCCCUUUAUUACUCUAUAUAUAGGAUAAUCAUUGUGCUGUCAAUCCGACAUGCAUGUUUUAUGUGAAAAACAACAGAUAUUAAGUAAGCUCCUAUAUAUAUGCAAGGAAGGUAUGUGGUGUGCAUUGCACGCUAAUUAGGAGUAUUAGAGCAUCUCCAAGAGACUUUCUAAAUUUCACUCUCUAAAUUAUUAUUUAGAGACUCAUUUGCAUAAAACCCCUAUUGUAUAUAUGUUUCCAAUGUCCAACAUGUUUUUUAUAUGUUGUUUGCACUCUAGAGAGGCAUUCACGUUUUUCUAUCUUUGGCUAGCGAGAAACAUAGAAUAGAAGAUGCCUAUAUUUGGAUAAUCAUUUAAAUAAAUUGUUGCGGUAUAUUUUUCAAAAAAAACUCUAUUCAUAUCAAUUAGAAAGGAUAUACAAAGUCUCUUGAAAUUGAUCUUAAUUAGGUAAUUAAUAUGGUUGUCCAAUUCGAACACCCCAGUACUAACACUAAAAGUGGUACUUGAUUGAAUCGAGCUAAUCCACCUUCCAAUUAUCCAGCUAACUCCAAUUCUAUCGGUCCACAAGGUUUAGCUAGCUGUACUAAUAAUUUGCUAGCUAGCUAUAUAGCCAUCCUAGCUCCAUUGAUUAACAUAAAUAUAUAUACAUAACACUAAUAUAUAUGUUGCCCACUAUAAUAAUGGUGGCAGGUCAAUAUUGCAUACCAAUUCCUUAAUUUGGAGGUUUCUAAACUAAUGCAUCAAAAUAUAUAAUCAUUUCAGCUAAUGUGUGUAGACAUGAGUUAAUUAUUAUGUUUUUUUAUUUGUUGCUAUCUUCGUAGUGGUCCCAGAACGUAACACCUAACUAUCAGAGCAUUUUAGCUAGCAUGCUUGAAUAAGAAGUUUCCAUUACGCAUGCCAAAGUUUAAUCAGUUCACAUAAGCACAUUGUAUUUUCUUCCCCUUAUUAGUGUUAGUGAAAUAAUAAUACUGUAGUCAAGCAAGAACAAAUAUACACUGAGUGAAAUAUAUAUACGCCCGGGUAGAUCACACAUGCAUGCGUCUAAGUAAUAAUGCAACAUUCAACUUUUUGGACUAAAUAAACCUGAUGGAUACUUCGGAUUAAAUAUAUACUCCCUCCGUUUUUUUAUUUGUCACGAUUUAGUUCAAAAAUAAACCAGCGAGCUACAUAUAUUCGAGAACAGAGGUAUAUAGUAUAUUACACAGGGUUUGCUUCUGUUUUUCAAGUGAUGACUAGUUUUUGUAGUUAGGGGUUGUGUGUACAUUAUUGAUUGUUGUUGGGUAAUCACAACUUAUUUGUUUUAAUUCCUUUUUACACAUAUGCCAACACAGAAAAACUGUAGAUUCAUGAGAAGCGGGUUUUCAUAAGAUCUAUUAUUUAUUUAUAUAUAAUAUGAAAAAGGGUGCAUGAUAUAUAUACCAUACUUUCAAGUUACUGUUACCACAUGUUUCUAACAUUUUAAUGCAUGGUUGCCCACAAUUUUUUAUUUUGCAUAUAUAUAUGUAACAGCUAUCUAGUAGUAUAAAAACAAUAUGCAAACAAUUUCUAGCAGAUAUAUAUGUGAUACAAAGUACCAGUACAGUAAUAGAGUCACAAAAUAAUGUCAAAACACUUGUCUACAAAUAUAUAUAGUGAAUUAAAUUGGCAUCUGUUUUUUGGUCUCGUAGAACCGAUUAUAACCCCCUACACAGGAGGAACUUUUUGAGCGGAUGUAGAGAACAGGGAGCUUUCCGGACCACCUUUGAGCAAUCAUUAAUUAUGGGUAAAAUUGUUUUCGAUCCGGAUGAGAAACAUGUGGCCUUAAACAACUUUUGCAUCUAAUAAAAGGAUUAAAGGAAGCAUGGUGUUUUUAACGAUUCAUAUGCCACUUUUGCAUCUAGUUUUUGAGCAAAAAAAAAUGGAAUACCUUGCAUCAAGUACUUGCGUAGCUCGUCAGAACUAACCAUGCAUGACGUGCAAUCUCUGCUCAAGUACUACUUGCGUAGCUCGACAGAACUUUAGGUCCUUCCCUUUUCUUUCGUUUUACUGUCUGGUUUUAAAGAUGUUUCCUUGAUCUGAAACGAAACUCUUCAAUUUCACUUGCCUUUGUUGCGCAUGAAUUAAUUUUUGUUCUACGUGAAUGAUGAAUUUGUUUUAUGUAGAGAUCUCUGACAAUAGGUCGUACGAAUUCCUACACUCCAAUUAAAAUUCUUUUUGCCCAAAACGUAGUAGAGAUCUAUAUAUACGACUAUACGCUACAGAAUAAUGUUUGCAAGAAAGAGUGGAUCCACACCCUUCCGAAACUGAGAAAUGCAAGCACGGGUGUACCGUGGGGUUUUCUUUUUGAAAGAUGCAAGUACGUACAAGUAUGCGUCGGGCCCUAUAUAGCAUCUCCAACUCUACUUUUUAUUUAUCAAAUCAAAAAAUAAUAGAAGGUUCUUUACUUUUU
rnacentral:lncRNA from 7 species